GAUGAACGCUGGCGGCGUGCCUAAUACAUGCAAGUCGAACGAAACUUCUUUAUCACCGAGUGCUUGCACUCACCGAUAAAGAGUUGAGUGGCGAACGGGUGAGUAACACGUGGGCAACCUGCCCAAAAGAGGGGGAUAACACUUGGAAACAGGUGCUAAUACCGCAUAACCAUAGUUACCGCAUGGUAACUAUGUAAAAGGUGGCUAUACUACCGCUUUUGGAUGGGCCCGCGGCGCAUUAGCUAGUUGGUAGGGUAAAGGCUUACCAAGGCAAUGAUGCGUAGCCGAAUUGGGAGGUUGAUCGGCCACAUUGGGACUGAGACACGGCCCAAACUCCUACGGGAGGCAGCAGUAGGGAAUCUUCCACAAUGGGCGAAAGCCUGAUGGAGCAACGCCGCGUGGGUGAAGAAGGUCUUCGGAUCGUAAAACCCUGUUGUUAGAGAAGAAAGUGCGUGAGAGUAACUGUUCACGUUUCGACGGUAUCUAACCAGAAAGCCACGGCUAACUACGUG
rnacentral:rRNA from 1 species